rnacentral:misc_RNA from 1 species
GAUGAAGAACGUAGCGAAAUGCGAUAAGUAAUGUGAAUUGCAGAAUUCAGUGAAUCAUCGAAUCUUUGAACGCACAUUGCGCCCGCCAGUAUUCUGGCGGGCAUGCCUGUUCGAGCGUCAUUACAACCCUCAGGCCCCCGGGCCUGGCGUUGGGGAUCGGCGGAGCCCCCCGUGGGCACACGCCGUCCCCCAAAUGCAGUGGCGGUCCCGCCGCAGCUUCCAUCGCGUAGUAGCUAACACCUCGCGACUGGAGAGAGGCGCGGCCACGCCGUAAAACACCCAACUCUUCUGAAGUUGACCUCGAAUCAGGUAGGAAUACCCGCUGAACUUAAGCAUAUCAAUAAGCGGAGGA